rnacentral:rRNA from 1 species
GACGAACGCUGGCGGCGUGCUUAACACAUGCAAGUCGAACGGAAAGGCCCUGCUUUUGUGGGGUGCUCGAGUGGCGAACGGGUGAGUAACACGUGAGUAACCUGCCCUUGACUCUGGGAUAACUUCAGGAAACUGGGGCUAAUACCGGAUAGGAGCUCCUGCUGCAUGGUGGGGGUUGGACAGUUUCGGCGGUUGGGGCUGGACUCGCGGCUUAUCAGCUUGUUGGUGGGGUUGUGGCUUACCAAGGCUUUGACGGGUAGCCGGCCUGAGAGGGUGACCGGCCACAUUGGGACUGAGAUACGGCCCAGACGCCUACGGGAGGCAGCAGUGGGGAAUAUUGCACAAUGGGCGGAAGCCUUAUGCAGCAACGCCGCGUGGGGUGUGACGGCCUUCGGGUUGUAAACCGCUUUCGCCUGUGUUGUAGCGUGAGUGACGGUAAUGGGUAAAGAAGCACCGGCUAACUACGUG